rnacentral:rRNA from 1 species
AGAUUGAACGCUGGCGGCAUGCCUUACACAUGCAAGUCGAACGGCAGCACGGGAGCAAUCCUGGUGGCGAGUGGCGAACGGGUGAGUAAUACAUCGGAACGUGCCCAAUCGUGGGGGAUAACGCAGCGAAAGCUGUGCUAAUACCGCAUAAGAUCUACGGAUGAAAGCAGGGGAUCGCAAGACCUUGCGCGAAUGGAGCGGCCGAUGGCAGAUUAGGUAGUUGGUGAGGUAAAGGCUCACCAAGCCUUCGAUCUGUAGCUGGUCUGAGAGGACGACCAGCCACACUGGGACUGAGACACGGGCCCAGACUCCUACGGGAGGCAGCAGU